AUACUUACCUGGCAGGGGAGAUACCAUGAUCAUGAACGUGGUUUUCCCAGGGCGAGGCUUAUCCAUUGCACUCCCGAUGCGCUGACCCCUGCGAUUUCCCCAAAUGUGGGAAACUCGACCACAUAAUUUGGUAGUGGGGGACUGCGUUCGUGCUCUCCCCUA
rnacentral:snRNA from 1 species